ensembl:lncRNA
CUAAUAGCAGACUAGGUGACUCUGUUUUGACAGGACCGUGAAUUUCCUUAGAGCAAACUCUUUGCUAAUCUUCCCCUUGCUUCCUGCUUGGAUUUUAAUCACUGGGAGUUCUUCAUACACACACUUACUGCCACGCUGGUUUCCCUAGAAUCCCACUGUCACUUAGCGGUAACCUAUCCUCAUAUUGUAAUCAAAUUCUUUCCUUUGAAGAAUGAGAUAGUUCCAAUGGGACCAUACUGUGGGUCUUUAUUACACAAUUUUUAUGUAAGAAUCCUCCUGUCUGUGUUUGUUUACUGUUGAAAAUCACUAAGGAGGAGCCAUGGGUACUAAGGAUGAAACCCAGAGUAUGUCCCUCAGGGGCCCCAAGAGGAGCUGAUGAUAAGAGAAGGGGAUAAAGCACAAUUCUGGGGGGCGCAGGAAUGUCACUGUCCCUGGUCAGAGUCAGCCAUGCACACACACCCUCCUCCCAGCCCCUCUGUUUGUCACCGGAGGUCUGACUGUUCCAAAGCUAUCAUUCACAUUGACCUUUGGCCAAGAAGAAUCUCUCAGGUUGAAAGAGUGCUAGGGAGAAUACAGGGAGGUUUCAUGAGCACAGAGGCAGAAGCAGACUGGGGUAGGGAGAAGGGACUGAGUAGGGUUGGAAGCUCAUCAAAAAUAGCACUUCCAUUUUAGCCUUGACAAAUAAUGUUAUCAUGUAUGUUAACAUCACAGGUUAAAGUCUAUAAUGCUGUAAAUCAACUAUACUUUAAUAAAAAUUUAAAAAUUUAAAAAUAAAAGGCCAAAAAACACAUGAAAAGAUGUUCAAUAUCACCAAUUAUUAGAAAAAUGCAAAUCAAAACUACUAUGAGGUAGCACCUUACACCAGCCAGAAUGGCCAUCAUCAAAGAGCCUACAAACAAUUAAUGCUGGAGAGGGUGUGGAGAAAAGAGAACCCUAUUAUACUCUUGGUGGGAAUAUAAAUUGGUGCAACCACUGUGGAAAACAGUAUGGACAUAACUCAGGAAACUAAAAAUGGAAUUACCAUUUGAUCCAGCAAUCCUACUCCUGGACAUCUAUCCAGAGAAAACCAUGACUCAAAAGAUACAUGUACUCCAACGUUCAUUGCAGCACUCUAUACAAUAGCCAAGACAUGGAAACAACCCAAAUAUCCAUUGAUAGAGAAGUGGCUAAAGAAGAUGUGGUACAUAUACACAAUGUAAUAUUACUCAGCCAUUAAAAGGAACGAAAUAAUGGCAUCUGCAGAAACAUGGAUGGACCUAGAAAUUAUCAUGCUAAGUGAAGUUAGUCAGACAGUGAGACACCAAAGUCAUAUGCUAUCACUUACAUGAUGAAUCUACAAAAAGAACACAAUGAACUUCUUUGCAGAACAGAUACUGACUCAUAGACUUUGAAAAACUUAUAAUUUCCAAAGGAGACAGAUUGGGGGUGGGGGGAUAGGCUGGGGGUUUGGGAUGGAAAUGCUAUAAAAUUGGGUUGUGAUGAUCAUUGUAGAACUAUAAAUGUAAUAAAAUUCAUUGAGUUUAAAAAAUAAAUUAUUAUUUUAUUGCAUAUUGAGAUAAAUGCACUACUAAAGAGGCAUAUUUAGAGAUUAAUCCAUUCCAUGAACCCUUGUGGAUGCCCCAUGUGUGCUAGGAACAGAGGCCACUGGAGUAACACAAUGGCCUGGCUCCCACUGCUUGGGGACUGACUGUCAUGAAUGAUGUGUCAUGUGUCAGUGACAAGGGAGGCGCCAGGCAUGAGGGGUGACCAUCGACCCCAGGAAGGGACACUGAGCAGAGGUCAGGAAGAUAGGUGGGGGUUUGCUGAGCAGAGAAAAAAAUAAAGGCAGUUUAGAGGGAGGAAAUGCCUCAUGCAAAGGCCAAGAUCUUGAAGAAUUAAACUAAGGAAGUAACAAUAUAAAGAGAAAAGGGAAUAAUGCAAGACCUAUUAAUGGAGAGUAGAUUCCAAAGACCUUCGAUAAUGGGAGUUAAGCAGCUGAGGCAUUAAACAUGACCCCAGUGUGAGAGUUAAGGAGUCAGAGCCAAAAGUGAUGCCUCUGAAAGUGGAAAUAGGAAGAAGCAGACUUCAGGGAAGGAAAUGAUUCAGGUCUUGACCAUGCCUGUGGGACAGUCCAAUAUAAGUUUCUACUAGGCAGCUAGCUUUGCUCCUCUGGAGUAAUGGGGAGAAAAACAGGGAGGUUGAGUUACUCAGAAAGAGCAUCUAAUGAGUUAGAAGAGAAUGGAGUUAUGGGGACCACAAACUUCCUACAGAGUUUGAAGAAUGAAAAUAUGUAGAAGGUGUGUGCAGAGAAAGAAGGUCUGAUUGGAGAGACUGCUGAAGGACAAACAUCGCAAGAUCUAGAAAGGGAAGAGUGGACUGCUAAGCAUCACAGUCAUCAAUAGUGGAGCACUUUCUCUCUUCCUCAUCAGAAUUCCCAAAGACUGUCUACUGUUGCCACCUUGCCCAUUUUGUAGAUGAGAAAAGUAAGUCUCAGAGCUAAGUGACUAGGCCAUAGUCACACAGCUAUUACAUGGCAGGGGUGUGAUCCAAAUUUACUGCAAACCAUGUGUUCUUUCCAUGCUGAGCAGCACCAGGAUUAUGAGAAAACAGUGUGAAGGUCACACCUUCAGAUUGCAGUCAGAGAAGAGGUGAGAGACGGACUCAAAAUCUCCUGUCCACUGUGAUCACUGGGGCAUGAUAGCCUGCCUGGUUCCUGCGGAGUUUGGGAAGGAGCUGGACUAAAUGGCUACAAAAGCGAUGGGAGGGAAGCAAUGGUUUUCUCACUGGAAGCUCAGUUGAAAAGAUGAGACCACUUUCACACAGGCUUCAGAGCAAGAGCAUUUUUGUUUUCUCCCCCGGACUGCCACUGGUGUUUUAAGCUUGAACAUUGUUCAUAAUCUGUGGGGAAGGACUUAAGAAGGAAAAGUUGAGGGCUCUGGAAAGCAAGGGGAAGGAAACCAAGUAUUUAAGAGAAAGAGGGUGGGGUGUGAAGAUCGGAGAUGGAGGCAUUAUCCCUGGAGGAAAGGAUGGUGCCUGUUUCAGACCUGAGGACAGCGGGGAAGGACAUUUGUGGCUUUGGGGGCAGGAAGCUGAAGGGAAUCCUCACUGAUAUAAAAUAGGAGGUGUGGGUAGGCACUGAGGUGGAGAGUGGGGAGAGACACUGGAGGAGAGUGAUAACCAGUGGAAUCUGGUCAUCCUGGGAGAAAGAAAGGGGCUGCCAGGCAGAGUCUUGUGUGUAGCAGAGCAGAAAGACCACACACUGGUCAUUGAACCCAUAGUCCAGCCCUCCUGUAUCCCUGACCAGCCUUAAAGCUGCAGGUGAGCAAGAAGGGGAAAGCAGAAGACUCUACUGAUUCACAGUUGGGCACUGGCAGAAGGUCAAGACAGAGAGGGAUCAGAUAGGGCUGGAGUGACCUUGCAAAGACAUUUACGAGAAGAGAGGCAUGUUGCAAUCUGUGUUGUAAUGGGAAUUGGCAGGACUUAUAUUACUAGGCGUCCAAGUGCUCAGUUUUGAAUUAUGUUGAGAUAGCUCUCCUCAAAGCUUUGUUUAAAGGUUUCCUAAUCUUGUACCCCCACCUCUCUUUCAACACACAGUAGAUAAAUGCUAAAAAGAAAGACUUCCCAGUUAGCCUCAGUAGACAAAGGAAAUAAGCUGUUGGGUCAUCUAAGAUGCAGGCAGGAAAAUGUGAAAUGUCCACAUGUACAGGCAGCUCUCAGUGCCCACAGGGCACCCACGUGAUGCUCACUGGUGGCCCUGGGUUUCGGGGACCUCGGGAAGGCUGAUGCUGUUCUCCAGGAUCGGUAAGCACAUCCUCCAGGACUGUUUCCUUGGACACAUCUUCCACAUUCUUCUCCUUGCAGCAAUAUUUGUUCCUUUUAUUUGUUUUAUCUGUAAAAUAGGGCCCAGGACCUUCAUGGGGCUCAAUGCCUCCAAAAUUCUAGCAGUUCAUGACUCUCCCUUCUUGUUGAGCCAACAGUCUAUGGCCAUUUCUUCUGCAUCCUCUUAAGUACCCCCAUCCCAAUGUAAAACAAGAAAUAUUCAACUUAGUGUGAGAGAUAUUUAGAAAGUGAGGAAGACUGAGGUGGGAAAAAAGUAGGUGGACACCAUCAUAAGGGGAACGCCUGGCCCCUAGUUGCUGGGUCUGGGCCUCUUCCUGGCUUCCAGAUGGAUGCCAAGCUGACCUCAGAGGCAUGGGCCUGGGACAGAAAGUAAGCAAGAAUGAAAAAGAAUGCCACUCUUUGACCAUCUCUCCAGAGUCUUACAUCUCUUAACCAUAGUCUUAAUAACCACCUGGUCCAAAACAUUACCUUGAAAAAUGUGUUGAAAAUAUAUGCCACUUUCAAAAAAUCAUGCAACUGUCACUCUGGAAAAUAAUAUGCUAGUUCUUAAAAUAUUAAACAUAAGAUUGCCAGAU